GACGGAUGGGGCUAGCGUUGUUCGGAAUUACUGGGCGUAAAGGGCGCGUAGGCGGCCAUCUAAGUUAGACGUGAAAGCCCUGGGCUUAACCUAGGAACUGCGUUUAAUACUGGAUGGCUAGAGUAUGGUAGAGGAAAGCGGAAUUCCUAGUGUAGAGGUGAAAUUCGUAGAUAUUAGGAAGAACACCAGAGGCGAAGGCGGCUUUCUGGACCAUUACUGACGCUGAGGCGCGAAAGCGUGGGGAGCAAACAGG
rnacentral:rRNA from 1 species